rnacentral:sRNA from 2 species
CUGCCACCGUCACCGACUGCACAACAAACCGCUUGGCAGGAGCGGGGGACCCACUUGUGGGUCGGUCUUCGGACCGGCCCUUGGGGUGAAGCCAGCUCCGGCUGGCCGGGCAGAACCUUUCGUCCGAACCCGACAGCUCACCCCGUAGGCAUCGAGAGGUUUC